UUGAUAAUUAUAACAAAUUAUUUUAGAACUCAAGAAGAAUCACAAAGUUGAGAUUGAUGAGUUAGAAGAAAAACAUGAGAAGAAUAUCCAGGAUAUAUUCAAUAUCAACCAGGGUAUCUUGAAAGGGUUGGAGACCCAGGUUGAACUAUGCAGUGUACAGAAGGUGGAAUUUGAGGAGAAGAAUAUCAGGCUAGAACAGGAGCUGAAAGAUGCACUGGAGGAGAGAAAAAUUGUAGAAAAGAAAGGGCACAGCAUGGUGAAGGAUGUGAAGAGGCAGCUCAUCAUGGAGAAGAAGAAGAACGAGAGAUUACAGGAGAAGAUGAAGGAGUGCUUCAUAGAUACUGAAUCAAACCAUUCAGAUCAGCAGAAGGAUGUGGAUCCAGAUAGAAGUUCAAUAUCAUCCUGGAGUUUAAUGUCAGGAAACAAUGAUCGUGAAUCUACCCCCUCCCAUGAGAGAUCCCGGGUAUCCCAGAACUCACCUGAUCUUCCAACUAGUCCUCUAGAUACUCCUGGACAGGACUCAAAUGGAAAUAGACCAGGUUGGCGUAGCGCUGAUGAAUCUGGGCGUAUGCAAGGUAGAGAGGGGGGAGAGACUGAUGAGACGGAUGUUCUCCUUGAAAGAGUUGCUUCACUACAACAGACUAUCUGGGGAAUGGAGGAAAAAUUAAAUAUGCUGGAGCAAAGUGGAGCUGCAAUGGCAGAGGAAAUAUUUAGGAAAAACAAUCUGAUCCAGUUCUACUGUAUGGAGGCGGGUCGUGGACCCGGCCCUGUUAGUUCUGAUGGGCGUUCCCUGGCUGCUAGGACAGGAGGGGUACGCCAGAGCGGGCAGGGAGGCGGAGAAAAGAUGAAACAGUUUAUGGACAGAUUAGUUCAUUCUGACAACACAGAUCUUCAUAAUAAGGAGGUUGUGAGAAUGCAAGGAAUGCUGGAGGAGACACUGACUAAAAAUAUGAUGCUCCAGCUAAACUUAGACACUUUGUCGCAGGAAGUUGUGAGGCUAUCUAAGUUAGCUCCUAGUGGAGAUUAGUGGAAUAUCUCAAGGAAUUUAAUCCUCCAAUAUCAUCAUGAUUCCUAUAUCAUUAUCAAAAUAGUAUUUUUCGAUUUUAUUUGUUUUAUGAUGUUUUUUAAAUCUAGUUAGAUUAGAUUUUCAAGAACUAAUUUAUAAUCAAAACAUUUAUACCCACGUUACAGAUUACAAAUUUUAAGAUAAAUUGUUUAAUUUUAGAAUUCUAAAAUUCUAUCAGAUUUUAAUAACAUGUCAGUGCUUCAGAUUACACAUUUAAG